AAAAAGGCAAACCCUAGGUUUUCGUACCAACGUUUGACUGUCCGUCUUAUAUGAAAAUUUUUUAUAAUUAGUAUUUUUAUUGUUGUUAGAUGAUAAAAUAUGAUUAAUACUUUAUGCGUGACUUAUCUUUUUAUUUUUUUUUAUAAUUUUUUCAAAUAAAACGAACGGUCAAACGUUGGACACGGAAAUUAGGGUUUGUCUUUUU
rfam:Oryza sativa (indica cultivar-group) chromosome 6, whole genome shotgun sequence.